GGGAUUUAGGGUAGAGGGGAGAGGAUUUUCGGCAAGGGGGUAUGGGCUGGAUCUAGACCUUCGAAACAGUCAGUUUAUAAUCCCAUUUAGCAGAGUCAUGUCGCUUCCAAAUGAAGAAAUAAGUCCUCUUCUUCUGAUGCUCAGAAAGUUGUUGAACUAUGGUUAUUGCAGAAAGCAGUGUAAAUGACAAGUUGUUGAACUAUGGUUAUUGCAGAAAGUGGACAUUUAUGAGUGGCAAUGAUUGACAUCGAAAUUGCUUGCAAGUUGAAAUUAGGAGACCUAGAAGGAGCAUUGUUGGACACAGACUUUGCAUUGCGUGAUUGGGAAGAUAAUGUGAAGGCUUUGUUUCGCCAAUGCC